UAGAGUAGGAAGACCGAUAGCGAACAAGUAGCGUGAGCGAAAGUUUGAAAAGCACUUUGGAAAGAGAGUGACAUAGAACCUGAAGUCGUGACAAUGACAAUGAAAGCGCCUCCGUUUUAUACGUCAAAACCAGCCCUACAGCAUCAUCCUGGGUGGACUUGUGCCACGGUGCUCUUUUGCACCCUUGUUUGCCAGGCAACGACUGCAGUACCGGGGCCCUUGGUGAAAUGAGCGGCGAUAAAGUUUGGAUGCACUGCGAGCGAUCGUACCUUUCACCGGGUGCCCGCUUCAGCAGCGCCAGGCUUCGCGUGAUGCUCCAUGUUGACGAACGGAAACGGGGUGCCUUCACCCGUCUUGAAACACGGACCAAGGAGUCAAACAGACGCGCAAGGGGGAAGAUACUUGUUGCCAGUACUUCUCUCGUACUGAAAGGGUGGUACCUAGUACCAUGGUGUGCACACAAACGAAUGCCCAACACCGGCCGGCCCGUACGCGGUUGAGUUUGAGUGUGCCUGUUUGGACCCGAAAGGUGGUGAACUAUGCCUGAACAAGGUGAAGCCCGGGGAAACCCAGGUGGAGGCCUGUAGCGAUGCUGACGUGCAAAUCGCUCGCAAGAUUUGGGUAUCGGAGCGAAAGACUCAUCGAACCACCUAGUAGCUGGUUCACGUCGAAGUUUCCCUCAGGAUAGCUGGUGCUAGACUUUCAUGAUUAGUAUUGUGCGGUAAAGCAAAUGAUUAGAGGUAUUGGUGUUCUUAGAGUAUCGACCUAUUCUCAAACUUUAAAUGUGCAAAUCAUCUGGCCUUUGCCAAAUUCGGAAGACCAGAAAGACAAAAUUAAGGCACCAAGUGGGCCUUCUUCGGUAAGCGGAGCAGGCGAUGCGGAAUGAACCGCUUAGGGAUAUGUGGCGUCUAAACUUUUGGGCUCAUUCUCGAUACGUGAAAAGGGUGUUGGUGGAUAUGGACAGUUGGACGGUGGCCAUGGAGGUCGGCAUCCGCUAAGGAGUGUGUAACAACUCACCAA
rnacentral:rRNA from 1 species